rnacentral:rRNA from 1 species
GAUGAACGCUAGCGGCAGGCCUAAUACAUGCAAGUCGAACGGGAUCCAGAUCAAAGCUUGCUUUGGUCUGGUGAGAGUGGCGCACGGGUGCGUAACGCGUGAGCAACCUACCUUUGUCAGGGGGAUAGCCCGGCGAAAGUCGGAUUAAUACCGCAUGACAUCAUUGAGAGGCAUCUUUCGAUGAUCACAGAUUUAUCGGACAAGGAUGGGCUCGCGUGACAUUAGCUAGUUGGUAAGGUAACGGCUUACCAAGGCUGCGAUGUCUAGGGGCUCUGAGAGGAGAAUCCCCCACACUUGUACGGAGACACGGACCAGACGCCUACGGGAGGCAGCAGUAAGGAAUAGUGGUCAAUGGACGGAAGUCUGAACCAGCCAUGCCGCGUGCAGGAAGACGGCCCUAUGGGUAGUAAACUGCUCUUAGACGGGAACAAACGUCGGUACGUGUACCGGUCUGAGUGUACCGUAAGAAUAAGGAUCGGCUAACUCCGUG